UCCCUUCUCCUCUCUCCCCUCUCUGACCAAGCUCUCCCUCUCCCUUCUUCUUGUCUGAGUUCUCCCCCCCUCUCUUCCCACUUAUGACUGCGUCUCCACCGUCGCUGCCGUCGUUGCCGUGGGCUUCUCUGCCGUCGCUGUUGCCAUCCGUCGGAGGUAAGGGUUCUUCCCAUCCUUUUCUUUUUUUGGUUGAUCAGGCCAUCGGGGGGUGGAGGAG
rnacentral:lncRNA from 1 species